UCGAGAAUUUUUCUCAAUGGGGGAAACCCUGAAGGAGCGACGCCGCGUGGGGGAUGAAGGGCUUCGGUCCGUAAACCCCUGUCAUUUGCGAACAAGUUUUCAUAUUGAAUAGAUGUGAGAAUUGAUAGUAGCGAAAGAGGAAGGGACGGCUAACUCUGUGCCAGCAGCCGCGGUAAUACAGAGGUCCCGAGCGUUGUUCGGAUUUACUGGGCGUAAAGGGUGCGUAGGUGGCCGGGAAAGUCUGAUGUGAAAUCUCCGAGCUUAACUUGGAAACGGCAUUGGAAACUAUCUGGCUUGAGGGCCGGAGGGGAGACUGGAAUUCUCGGUGUAGCAGUGAAAUGCGUAGAUAUCGAGAGGAACACCAGUGGCGAAAGCGAGUCUCUGGACGGCCUCUGACACUGAAGCACGAAAGCUAGGGGAGCAAACAG
rnacentral:rRNA from 1 species